GGCGGACAGAGACAUGUGUAAGCAUAUUUACAGGCAUUUAUUCAGCAUCAGGAACAAAGGAAAAAAUAUGUCUGCUUCCCUUCGUGUCCAAGCAAACAGCAGCAUAGCAAAAGCUAUAUACAAUGGAAGUUCCCAGCAGACUGUGCUGGAAGUAAACAGACAUGUGACAUACAACAAUCCACACAUCUGUUCUAAAGGUGGAAUGGAACUAUAUCCUAACAUCCAGCUGACUGCAAUUAUUCUAUUAUUUUCACAGCAUACGAACGGAGCCAACAGAAUGAGGCGGAUUUUUACUCGCUACUUCUUUAAAUGGUGGCGGUAGGGGCUUAACCUGGCCUCUUUGUAGAAUCAUAGAACUACAGAGUUGCAAAGGACCCUGAUGAUCCUCUAGUCCAACCCCCCGCAAUGCAGGAAUAUGCAGCUAUCCCGUAUGGGGAUUGAACCUACAACCUUGGUGUACAUCGGCACCAUGCUCUAACCAACUGUUCAAGAGUUCAAGAGUUCUCUGUCCAAGAGUUCAAGAGUUCUCUGUCCAAAGUCUGUGCUCUUGAGUUAUAGACCCUCCCUGUAGUUAAAGCCUUUCUGAUUUUUAAAAACAGCCUUUUGUCUGUGACACAAUCCCUAUUGUCUUGCUUGGGUUGAAGUUCGCAGUCUCUUAAUGCACAGGAUAGAGCAAUCACUGGGUUGCUUCUCUUUAAGAUCCACUUCCCUUUGCCUUUGGCAUCGUUAAAUUUGCCCUUUGGAAGCUUGGUAAUGUACACAGCCAGGCACAGAUGGCCCGAGCAGGCUGGUGAGCACACUUCCUCUUCAUUUGUGUGAUGCGAAAUUGUCUUUUAAGUGACUAAAGUGCAAUUGCAAUAAUGACAAAGAAUUCCAGAUGCCUUAGCAAAGAGCGGGUGGCAGCGGCGGGGGAGAUUCCUUAGACCCUAAAGGAUACGAACAAAAGCUUUGUAUCAUUGCUUGUGUGUUUGUGUGUGUUGGGGAACUGCUGUUAAUGCUUCUCACACAGGCCUUUCUGUUUCAUGCUGAAACUGCCCCCCUCCCAGCUUCACAUCUCUGUUGUCCCUAGAAGUGUGGAGAAAUCCUCUCCUAGGGAACAGUAUUUCCAUACAGUUUCCAGGCUUUUUACUAAAGAGAUUUCCUCGUGGUAUUCUGCCUUUAUUUACUUCUACAUUUGAAUCCAGCUUUUUUAAAAAUACAAGGAGCUCUCAAAGUGGCCCCAUCUUCAGCAAAAUGUGUUUAGAAGUUUCACAACACAUAAAAAGACAUUUGCUAAUCUCUUUACAUUGUUAAAUGUUGGCCAGCUGACUUGUCCUCAGAAGCUUGCCAGUUCUAGGAGUGGUAGGAGAGGUGGGAUAUUGGGGAUGAAGAGUGCUUGGCAUGCAGAAGGUUGUAGCUUCAGUCCCCUGAAAUGCCAGUAUCAUAAACUGUCAAUAUCAUCAUGCUGUUAUACAAAGCUGUGGUGCAGCUUCAUCCAGAAUAUUGUGUAUAGUUCUGGUUGCUUCACAUUGGAAAGGAUAUUGUAGGGUUGGAAAAGUUUCAG